GAUGAACGCUGGCGGCGUGCCUAAUACAUGCAAGUCGAGCGAAUGGAUUAAGAGCUUGCUCUUAUGAAGUUAGCGGCGGACGGGUGAGUAACACGUGGGUAACCUGCCCAUAAGACUGGGAUAACUCCGGGAAACCGGGGCUAAUACCGGAUAACAUUUUGAACCGAAUGGUUCGAAAUUGAAAGGCGGCUUCGGCUGUCACUUAUGGAUGGACCCGCGUCGCAUUAGCUAGUUGGUGAGGUAACGGCUCACCAAGGCAACGAUGCGUAGCCGACCUGAGAGGGUGAUCGGCCACACUGGGACUGGGACACGGCCCAGACUCCUACGGGAGGCAGCAGUAGGGAAUCUUCCGCAAUGGACGAAAGUCUGACGGAGCAACGCCGCGUGAGUGAUGAAGGCUUUCGGGUCGUAAAACUCUGUUGUUAGGGAAGAACAAGCGCUAGUUGAAUAAGCUGGCACCUUGACGGUACCUAACCAGAAAGCCACGGCUAACUACGUGCCAGCCGCCGCCGUAA
rnacentral:rRNA from 1 species